CAGUCGACGGGCUCAUAUUGAAACCUAGUGAUGUAUGAGUUAGUGGCGGACGGGUGAGUAACGCGUGGAGAACCUGCCGUAUACUGGGGGAUAACACUUAGAAAUAGGUGCUAAUACCGCAUAAGCGCACAGCUUCGCAUGAAGCAGUGUGAAAAACUCCGGUGGUAUACGAUGGAUCCGCGUCUGAUUAGCUGGUUGGCGGGGUAACAGCCCACCAAGGCGACGAUCAGUAGCCGGCCUGAGAGGGUGAACGGCCACAUUGGGACUGAGACACGGCCCAAACUCCUACGGGAGGCAGCGGUGGGGAAUAUUGCACAAUGGGGGAAACCCUGAUGCAGCGACGCCGCGUGAGUGAAGAAGUAUUUCGGUAUGUAAAGCUCUAUCAGCAGGGAAGAAAAUGACGGUACCUGACUAAGAAGCCCCGGCUAACUACGUGCCAGCAGCCGCGGUAAUACGUAAGGGGCAAGCGUUAUCCGGAUUUACUGGGUGUAAAGGGAGCGUAGACGGCAGCGCAAGUCUGAAGUGAAAUCCCAUGGCUUAACCAUGGAACUGCUUUGGAAACUGUGCAGCUGGAGUGCAGGAGAGGUAAGCGGAAUUCCUAGUGUAGCGGUGAAAUGCGUAGAUAUUAGGAGGAACACCAGUGGCGAAGGCGGCUUACUGGACUGUAACUGACGUUGAGGCUCGAAAGCGUGGGGAGCAAACAGGAUUAGAUACCCUGGUAGUCCACGCCGUAAACGAUGAUUACUA
rnacentral:rRNA from 1 species